rnacentral:tRNA from 1 species
GGGAAUGUGGCUUAGUGGUAGAGUAUUUGCCUUGCAUGCAUGAAGCCCUGGGUUCGGUCCCCCAAUACCA